rnacentral:rRNA from 2 species
GGGUUAAUAAGUUGGUCGUGCCAAUGGUAUGUACUGGCUUUAUUGAUUCCUACCUCUUGAAGAACUGUGAUGCCAUUAAUUUGGUGUUGCAGGAAAUCAGGACUGUUACCUUGAAAAAAUUAGAGUGUUUAAAGCAGGCCUACGCUUGAAUACAUUAGCAUGGAAUAACGAAAUAGGACGUUUGAUUCUAUUUUGUUGGUUUCUAGGAUCGACGUAAUGAUUAAUAGGGAUAGUUG